AACAGAGAGAGCUGUGGUCUCUUUGAAGUUUUAAUAUGCUGUUAAAACAGAAUGCAAGCAAAACACAAGGUAAACAAAACAAACUACAGUAUACAGGUACAGUAUACAGGUGGGAGGGAGGGAAAAAAUUCUGCCUGACUCAGAACAGAGAGAGCUGUGGUCUCUUUUGAAGUUUUAAUAUGCUGUUAAAACAGAAUGCAAGCAAAACACAAGGUAAACAAAACAAACUACAGUAUACAGGUACAGUAUACAGGUGGGAGGGAGGGAAAAAAUUCUGCCUGACUCAGAACAGAGAGAGCUGUGGUCUCUUUUGAAGUUUUAAUAUGCUGUUAAAACAGAAUGCAAGCAAAACACAAGGUAAACAAAACAAACUACAGUAUACAGGUACAGUAUACAGGUGGGAGGGAGGGAAAAAAUUCUGCCUGACUCAGAACAGAGAGAGCUGUGGUCUCUUUUGAAGUUUUAAUAUGCUGUUAAAACAGAAUGCAAGCAAAACACAAGGUAAACAAAACAAACUACAGUAUACAGGUACAGUAUACAGGUGGGAGGGAGGGAAAAAAUUCUGCCUGACUCAGAACAGAGAGAGCUGUGGUCUCUUUUGAAGUUUUAAUAUGCUGUUAAAACAGAAUGCAAGCAAAACACAAGGUAAACAAAACAAACUACAGUAUUCAAAAUAUAGAAAGGCAAUACAGAAA